ACGGGGCGCAGCAGGCGCGAAAACUGCACAAUGUGGGCAACCACGAUGCGGGAAACCCAAGUGCCAGCGCUAUGCGUUGGCUGUCCUCCAGUGUUCGUAACUGGGGAAGAAAGUGCUGGGUAAGACGGGUGCCAGCCGCCGCGGUAAUACCCGCAGCACAAGUGGUGGUCAUUAUUAUUGGGCCUAAAGCGUCCGUAGCUGGCUUGUUAGAUGCCUGGGUAAAUCGAUGCGCUCAACGUAUCGAACUCCGGGUAGACCGGCAAGCUUGGGACCGGGAGAGGCGUGAGCUACUCGAGGGGUAGGGGUAAAAUCCUGUAAUCCUUCGGGGAGGACCAGUGGCGAAGGCGUCACGCUAGAACGGCUCCGACAGUGAGGGACGAAGCCCUGGGGCGCAAACCGGAUUAGAUACCCGGGUAGUCCGGGGUGUAAACGCUGCAGACUUGGUGUCGCUGCUCCUACGAGGGUUGGCGGUGCCGUAGAGAAGUUGUUUAGUCUGCCGCCUGGGGAGUACGGUCGCAAGACUGAAACUCAAAGGAAUUGACGGA
rnacentral:rRNA from 1 species